UACAGAGGGGGGCGAGCGUUGUUCGGAAUUACUGGGCGUAAAGGGCGCGUAGGCGGCCUGCUAAGUCAUACGUGAAAUCCCUCGGCUCAACCGAGGAACUGCGUCUGAUACUGGUUGGCUUGAAUUCGGGAGAGGGAUGCGGAAUUCCAGGUGUAGCGGUGAAAUGCGUAGAUAUCUGGAGGAACACCGGUGGCGAAGGCGGCAUCCUGGACCGACACUGACGCUGAGGAGCGAAAGCCAGGGGAGCAAACGGG
rnacentral:rRNA from 1 species